GAUGAAGAACGUAGCGAAAUGCGAUAAGUAAUGUGAAUUGCAGAAUUCAGUGAAUCAUCGAAUCUUUGAACGCACAUUGCGCCCCUUGGUAUUCCGAGGGGCAUGCCUGUUCGAGCGUCAUUAUAACCCCUCAAGCUCAGCUUGGUGUUGGGGCCUGCUGCACUGGCAGCCCUUAAAAUCAGUGGCGGCGCCAUCUGGCUCUAAGCGUAGUAAUUCUUCUCGCUAUGGAGUCCUGGUGGAUGCUUGCCAUCAACCCCCAAUUUUUCUAUGGUUGACCUCGGAUGAGGUAGGGAUACCCGCUGAACUUAAGCAUAUCAAUAAGCGGAGGA
rnacentral:misc_RNA from 1 species